rnacentral:rRNA from 1 species
CCUACGGGGUGCAGCAGUGAGGAAUAUUGGUCAAUGGGCGAGAGCCUGAACCAGCCAAGUCGCGUGAGGGAGUACUGCCCUAUGGGUUGUAAACCUCUUUUGACGGGGAGCAAAAGCCGGACGUGUCCGGCAGUGCGAGUACCCGAAGAAAAAGCAUCGGCUAACUCCGUGCAAGCAGCCGCGGUAAUACGGAGGAUGCGAGCGUUAUCCGGAUUUACUGGGUGUAAAGGGGGCGCAGACGGCGCUGCAAGACAGGUGUGAAAGCCCGGGGACCAACCCCGGGACUGCUCUUGCAACUGCGUGGCUGGAGUGCAGGAGGGGCAGGCGGAAUUCCUGGUGUAGCGGUGAAAUGCGUAGAUAUCAGGAGGAACACCGGUGGCGAAGGCGGCCUGCUGGACUGCAACUGACGUUGAGGCCCGAAAGCGUGGGGAGCAAACAGGAUUAGAUACCCCAGUAGUC